rnacentral:tRNA from 1 species
GCCGACGUAGCUCAACGGUAGAGCAGCUGAUUCGUAAUCAGCAGGUUGGCGGUUCAAUCCCGCCCGUCGGCUCCA